rnacentral:rRNA from 1 species
GACGAACCGAGCGAACGUUGUUCGGAAUCACUGGGCUUAAAGGGCGCGUAGGCGGGUUCUCAAGUCCGGGGUGAAAUCCCACAGCUCAACUGUGGAACUGCCUCGGAUACUGGGUGCCUCGAGGGUGGUAGGGGUAUGCGGAACUAUCGGUGGAGCGGUGAAAUGCGUUGAUAUCGAUAGGAACUCCGGUGGCGAAGGCGGUUCUCUGGGCCUGACCUGACGCUGAGGAGCGAAAGCGUGGGGAGCGAACAGG